CACUAGGGGUGCCCUAAAGGCUGAGAUAAGACCCUUAACCUGAUCCAGGUAAUGCUGGCGUAGGAAAGCUGUUAU
rnacentral:ncRNA from 2 species